GACGAACGCUGGCGGCGUGCUUAACACAUGCAAGUCGAACGGAAAGGCCCUGCUUUUGUGGGGUGCUCGAGUGGCGAACGGGUGAGUAACACGUGAGUAACCUGCCCUUGACUUUGGGAUGACUUCAGGAAACUGGGGCUAAUACCGGAUAGGAGCUCCUGCUGCAUGGUGGGGGUUGGAAAGUUUCGGCGGUUGGGGAUGGACUCGCGGCUUAUCAGCUUGUUGGUGGGGUAGUGGCUUACCAAGGCUUUGACGGGUAGCCGGCCUGAGAGGGUGACCGGCCACAUUGGGACUGAGAUACGGCCCAGACUCCUACGGGAGGCAGCAGUGGGGAAUAUUGCACAAUGGGCGGAAGCCUGAUGCAGCAACGCCGCGUGCGGGAUGACGGCCUUCGGGUUGUAAACCGCUUUCGCCUGUGACGAAGCGUGAGUGACGGUAAUGGGUAAAGAAGCACCGGCUAACUACGUGCCAGCAGCCGCGGUGAUACGUAGGGUGCGAGCGUUGUCCGGAUUUAUUGGGCGUAAAGGGCUCGUAGGUGGUUGAUCGCGUCGGAAGUGUAAUCUUGGGGCUUAACCCUGAGCGUGCUUUCGAUACGGGUUGACUUGAGGAAGGUAGGGGAGAAUGGAAUUCCUGGUGGAGCGGUGGAAUGCGCAGAUAUCAGGAGGAACACCAGUGGCGAAGGCGGUUCUCUGGGCCUUUCCUGACGCUGAGGAGCGAAAGCGUGGGGAGCGAACAGGCUUAGAUACCCUGGUAGUCCACGCUGUAAACGGUGGGUACUAGGUGUGGGGUCCAUUCCACGGGUUCCGUGCCGUAGCUAACGCUUUAAGUACCCCGCCUGGGGAGUACGGCCGCAAGGCUAAAACUCAAAGGAAUUGACGGGGCCCCGCACAAGCGGCGGAGCAUGCGGAUUAAUUCGAUGCAACGCGUAGAACCUUACCUGGGUUUGACAUGGAUCGGGAGUGCUCAGAGAUGGGUGUGCCUCUUUUGGGGUCGGUUCACAGGUGGUGCAUGGCUGUCGUCAUCUCGUGUCGUGAGAUGUUGGGUUAAGUCCCGCAACGAGCGCAACCCUUGUUCACUGUUGCCAGCACGUUAUGGUGGGGACUCAGUGGAGACCGCCGGGGUCAACUCGGAGGAAGGUGGGGAUGACGUCAAGUCAUCAUGCCCCUUAUGUCCAGGGCUUCACGCAUGCUACAAUGGCUGGUACAGAGAGUGGCGAGCCUGUGAGGGUGAGCGAAUCUCGGAAAGCCGGUCUCAGUUCGGAUUGGGGUCUGCAACUCGACCUCAUGAAGUCGGAGUCGCUAGUAAUCGCAGAUCAGCAACGCUGCGGUGAAUACGUCCCCGGGGCU
rnacentral:rRNA from 1 species